rnacentral:rRNA from 1 species
ACGGAAGGCAGCAGUGAGGAAUAUUGGUCAAUGGGCGGAAGCCUGAACCAGCCAAGUAGCGUGAGGGAGGACGGCCCUAUGGGUUGCAGACCUCUUUAGUGCGGGAACAAACUGCGGCACGCGUGCCGCACUGAGUGUACCGCAAGAAUAAGGACCGGCUAAUUCCGUGCCAGCAGCCGCGGUAAUACGGAAGGUCCGGGCGUUAUCCGGAUUUAUUGGGUUUAAAGGGAGCGUAGGCCGCAUGUCAAGCGUGUUGUGAAAUCCGGACGCCCAACGUCCGAACUGCAGCGCGAACUGGCGUGCUUGAGUGCGCGGGAAGCAGGCGGAAUUCGUGGUGUAGCGGUGAAAUGCUUAGAUAUCACGAAGAACCCCGAUUGCGAAGGCAGCCUGCUGUAGCGCUACUGACGCUGAGGCUCGAAAGUGCGGGUAUCGAACAGGAUUAGAUACCCUGGUA